CCUACGGGUGGCUGCAGUGGGGAAUCUUGGGCAAUGGGCGCAAGCCUGACCCAGCAACGCCGCGUGAAGGAAGAAGGCUUUCGGGUCGUAAACUUCUUUUGUCAGGGAAGAGUAGAAGACGGUACCUGACGAAUAAGCCACGGCUAACUACGUGCCAGCAGCCGCGCUAAUACGUAGGUGGCAAGCGUUGUCCGGAUUUACUGGGAGUAAAGGGCGUGUAGCCGGGUUGACAAGUCAGAUGUGAAAUCCUGCGGCUUAACCGCAGAACUGCAUUUGAAACUGUGGAUCUUGAGUACUGGAGAGGAAGACGGAAUUCCUAGUGUAGCGGUGAAAUGCGUAGAUAUUAGGAGGAACACCAGUGGCGAAGGCGGUCUUCUGGACAGCAACUGACGGUGAGGCGCGAAAGCGUGGGGAGCAAACAGGAUUAGAUACCCUUGUAGUC
rnacentral:rRNA from 1 species